UGGGGAAUUUUGGACAAUUGGGCGAAAGCCUGAUCCAGCAAUGCCGCGUGUGUGAAGAAGGCCUUCGGGUUGUAAAGCACUUUUGUCCGGAAAGAAAUCCUUGGCUCUAAUACAGUCGGGGGAUGACGGUACCGGAAGAAUAAGCACCGGCUAACUACGUGCCAGCAGCCGCGGUAAUACGUAGGGUGCAAGCGUUAAUCGGAAUUACUGGGCGUAAAGCGUGCGCAGGCGGUUUGCUAAGACCGAUGUGAAAUCCCCGGGCUCAACCUGGGAACUGCAUUGGUGACUGGCAGGCUAGAGUAUGGCAGAGGGGGGUAGAAUUCCACGUGUAGCAGUGAAAUGCGUAGAGAUGUGGAGGAAUACCGAUGGCGAAGGCAGCCCCCUGGGCCAAUACUGACGCUCAUGCACGAAAGCGUGGGGAGCAAACAGGAUUAGAUACCCUGGUAGUCCACGCCCUAAACGAUGUCAACUAGUUGUUGGGGAUUCAUUUCCUAGUAACGUAGCUAACGCGUGAAGUUGACCGCCUGGGGAGUACGGUCGCAAGAUUAAAACUCAAAUGAAUUGACGGGGUCAUAGCUG
rnacentral:rRNA from 1 species